AUUGAACGCUGGCGGCAUGCCUUACACAUGCAAGUCGAACGGCAGCACGGGUGCUUGCACCUGGUGGCGAGUGGCGAACGGGUGAGUAAUAUAUCGGAACGUACCUUAUCGUGGGGGAUAACGCAGCGAAAGCUGUGCUAAUACCGCAUAAGCCCUAAGGGGGAAAGCUGGGGACCGUAAGGCCUUGCGCGAUUAGAGCGGCCGAUACCUGAUUAGCUAGUUGGUGAGGUAAAGGCUCACCAAGGCAACGAUCAGUAGCUGGUCUGAGAGGACGAUCAGCCACACUGGGACUGAGACACGGCCCAGACUCCUACGGGAGGCAGCAGUGGGGAAUUUUGGACAAUGGGGGCAACCCUGAUCCAGCAAUGCCGCGUGAGUGAGGAAGGCCUUCGGGUUGUAAAGCUCUUUUGUCAGGGAAGAAACAGCAGCUCUAAUACAGUAUGCGAAUGACGGUACCUGAAGAAUAAGCACCGGCUAACUACGUGCCAGCAGCCGCGGUAA
rnacentral:rRNA from 1 species